UUAAACAAUUUGAUCGGGGGAAGUAAUUCAACCUCGUUAGUACAGAAAGCCUCUAAUUGCUGAGAUGAGGACAACGACUUGAAUGAAAAUGACCCGUGAUUGGUGCGCUGAAUCUUCGGAUAAAGAUGCAAUGGUUGGUACCCUUUACAGUACACGCGUAUAGAAUUUUUGUACGUUGUUAAGGGGAUAAGUGUAAAUUUAUUCCGAAUUAGAAUGGUACCGCGGAAAGCCGCUUCUAAC
rnacentral:ncRNA from 1 species